rnacentral:rRNA from 1 species
UACGUAGGUGGCAAGCGUUGUCCGGAUUUACUGGGCGUAAAGAGCGCGCAGGCGGUCGUUCAAGUCGAGUGUGAAAGCCCCCGGCUCAACUGGGGAGGGUCACGCGAUACUGGUCGACUCGAAGGCAGGAGAGGGUAGUGGAAUUCCCGGUGUAGUGGUGAAAUGCGUAGAUAUCGGGAGGAACACCAGUGGCGAAGGCGACUACCUGGUCUGUUCUUGACGCUGAGGCGCGAAAGCUAGGGGAGCAAACGGG